CCCUUAGAUGUUCUGGGCUGCACGCGCGCUACACUGAAGCUAUCAACACGUUUUCCCUCCCUGAGAAGGGCGGGUAACCUUUUGAAUCAGCUUCGUGGUAGGGAUCGGGGCUUGCAAUUGCUCCCCGUGAACCAGGAAUUCCUAGUAGACGCGAGUCAUAAGCUCGCAUCGAUUAAGUCCCUGCCCUUUGUACACACCGCCCGUCGCUACUACCGAUUGAACGUUUUAGUGAGGCAUUUGGACCGACGCAUCUCAGUUUAACCGCUGGUUUGUGUUGGAAAGACUUCCAAACUUGAGCGUUUAGAGGAAGUGAAAGUCGUAACA
rnacentral:rRNA from 1 species